GGGUUCCCACCUCCCUCUCUAGACACUUGUGACUCUGCCAUCACAGGCAAAAGUUGUUUGGGUUUCCAGCUGCGAAUUCAGCUCUUGGUUCACUCUGACCUUGUAGUCAACAGAAACCUUUAUGUCAAUUUCACAUACAAGACCGUCAAGGAGGGCUUCCCUCUUGUUCCUUUUUAAAAUCUUUUUUCUUUUAAUCACAAAGUACAAAACUCUCCUUUUAUUCCUUUAAGUUUUAUCUUCAUUGUGACCCAUCCUUCUAGACUUUCAGAUUCAGUUCCCCUGCCUCAGAGGAGGAAGUUACAUUUCAGACCUGUCAGGUGACAGCACCAUCCACACAAAGAGUCUUUGUUGCUUCCAGCCAGACGUCUCUGACUACCCUGGGGACAGCCCAUGGCUGCGCAGAGAGCCUGCCGGGUUUGAAUGCCUGCAAGAACGUGCAGGGAAGGUGGGUGCUACCCUGGGCCAGAGAUAUAUAGGACUUCUUUGGAGAAGCAGGCCCCACCCUGAGAAUUGGAGACACGACUUUCAGAAAAGGUUCUGAGCAACAUCUACUGUCAAGUCCAAAAUCACUGCUGGGAAAUGAAACUAAGGGCACAGAAGGUUGAUGCAGAUGCGGACCCUUCCUGAUAGCAAAUGAGGGAGCAGACAUGGGAAUUCAGAAACCAGCCUCUUCAAAGACAGAAGGACAAGCACAGGAAACAGAGCCUCCAGCUUUGCUGGAUCAUUUUUUGCUUUGUUUUGAUAAUUGACAUGAAAUAAACAGCGUUUUGACUUGUAAA